CAAACUAGAAGGAAAGAAGUGGUAACUAGUAUCCUAGUUGAAAGGUUUAACUAUUGCGAAGUAAAGUACCAGUAAUUUAGCUAACACCAAAAGGGAAACAAUAAAACAGGAGGUACCAACUCCCGAUAACAAAACCUGUGGCUGAUUUGCUGUACUCGAUGUAGUUGUACGCUCACGCACCACUUCCUACCGCCCUUUGCUGACACUCGCCCAGGUUGCUCUCCUUCGCCAGUGCUCGUGCGCCCAACUUGUCUCCAAUACUUCGAGAAUUCCUGAAAACACAUAAAAUACCACGACCCAAAAACCAGAAGGAGCUAUCACCGCUACCACUGGUAUAGCCCAAACAAUAUAAAAUGUACAAAGAAAGAAAAAGAAGAAACGAGAAUAUAAGGGGUGGGGCAGAUUUGGGAUGCAAAAGGGGUGGGGCAAGAAGACCCGAUACAGUCAGUUAAAAACACAGCAUGUGCUCCUUUAGAUAUGUCUACUUGAAUAUACGGAGAAGACUGCUGAGAAGCACUUGAAAGUGGAGAAGAAAAAUUGGAGAAGAAAUCGCAGAUAAUCGGCAAACAACCACACUUGGGAUCCUUUUCACUAGAUUGGAAGCCACCCACACUGAUUCAACUCCAAAAUCUAACUAAAUAUGACUGAAAAAUCACCUAAACUAAUUUAUAUAAAUUUCUACACUAUAACCCUAAGAUUUCUAUGUAAAUCGAAAGGAAAUCUUAGGGAAAAUGGGGGAAAUAGUGAGAGGAUUUGAGGGAGUUCGAUCUCGAGACCAAACAAAUUUCUUUUGUUUUCUGUUGAAGAAUAUUUCUACACUAUAACCAAACAACUUAUAUACAAAUGAAAAGACGAAAAAUGGAAGAAACAUGAUCGCCAGAGUUCGUUUCAUUCCAUCCAGAUAUGAAAAUCCCGGUUAGCGAACAAGCCAUUUGCAUCCAUUUCAUGUGAGCUCUUGACUCUGGUUGCAGCAGUAGCAGUCACCAGUCGGUGGUCAAAUCUGGCGGAGACUAGCAAGUAACAACAAUAGAGUGGGUAUAGUGUGCGACGAAAUAUGGUGAAGAAAGAAGAGGCGAAAGCAGGGAUGAGGGGAAGCAGCCAUGACGGGAUCCAAAAAAAAAACCUUCAUACUGUACAAUUCUCACCCAUAUGAAAUUUGGAAGCAAAGAAGCACGAUUCCAUCUUCUCAAAUCCAAAAAGUCAUAUGUUAAAAAAAUUCACAUGUGGAAGAUUUUAAUAUGAUGAAGAGUUGCCGAAACUAUUUUAAGAUAGUAUUUGAUAGGAUUAGUUAUAUCAGUUCAAUCACUAUAAGUUUUUUUAAAAAGUUUUGACAUUAAUAUUUUGGGUUAGUACUUCCUUUGGACUGUUUAGA